rnacentral:rRNA from 1 species
UAUUAAAGGUAGAUCUGCCCAGUGAAAUUAACAAUAGUGUAAUAUUUUUAAACGGCCGCGGUAUUCCUGACCGUGCUAAGGUAGCACAAUCAUGAGCCUCCUAAUUAGGGGAUAGAAUGAAUGAAUUAACAAGAAAUAACCUGUCUCUUUUUUGAUUAUUGAAAUUUAGAUUUAGGUGAAAACUCCUAAAUUUCCCCCACAGACAAAAAGACCCUAUAAGCUUUCAUCAUAAUAUUAUAUUAAUAAAAAGAUAUUUAAUUGGGGCGAUUUUAAGUAAAAAACACUUAUUUUAUAAAGAGUUAUGACUCAAACACUCUAUCUAUAGAGCAUAUAAGCAAGUUACUAUAGGGAUAACAGGCUAAUACUUCUUGAGAGCACAUAUCAACAGAAGUGCUUAGCACCUCGAUGUUGGCUUAAGGAUCCCAUUUUAUGCAGAAAGUAAAUAAGGGGGGGUUGUUCA